UACGGAAGGCAGCAGGGGAGUAUUGCACAAUGGGCGAAAGCCUGAUGCAGCUAUGCCGCGUGUAUGAAGAAGGCCUUAGGGUUGUAAAGUACUUUCAUCGGGGAGGAAAAACAAAACUAAUAAUUUUAUUUCUUGACGUUACCCGAAAAAGAAGCACCGGCUAACUCCGUGCCAGCAGCCGCGGUAAUACGGAGGGUGCUAGCGUUAAUCAGAAUUACUGGGCGUAAAGAGCACGUAGGUGGUUUUUUAAGUCAGAUGUGAAAUCCCUGGGCUUAACCUAGGAACUGCAUUUUGAAACUGAAAUACUAGAGUAUCGUAGAGGGAGGUAGAAUUCUAGGUGUAGCGGUGAAAUGCGUAGAUAUCUGGAGGAAUACCUGUGGCGAAAGCGGCCUCCUAAACGAAUACUGACACUGAGGUGCGAAAGCGUGGGGAGCAAACAGGGAUUAGAUACC
rnacentral:rRNA from 1 species